CCAUUGUUGACUGAAACGUCGUUACGUGACACAUAACUGUCCUGUGUUUUUAAAGUGUUUGGCUGUUAUUUUGAGUGAAAGAAGCUAGAUAUGAAAAAGCGACAGCACAACAAGGCGACUACAGUCAGCAAUUAUUUAUUGAACAUUUAAAAAUAACUAAGAGUGUAACUGGAACGUUCAUAACCCAAAGAAAUGAUAAAUGCUUAAGGUGGUGGAUACUCAGUGUACCCUGAUGUGAUUCUUUUUUUUUUUUUUUUAGAUGGAGUUUCACUCUUGUUGCCAGAUGGAGUUUCACUCUUGUUGCCCAGGGUGGAGUGCAGUGGCGCUAUCUCGGCUCACUACAACCUCUGCCUCCGGGGUUCAAGUGAUUCUCCUGCCUCAGCCUCCUGAGU
rnacentral:lncRNA from 1 species